rnacentral:rRNA from 1 species
ACACGACUACAUUAGACUACCCGUGUAGUCCUAGCCGUAAACUAUGCUCGCUAGGUGUCAGGGACGGUGCGACCGUUUCUGGUGCCGCAGGGAAGCCGUGAAGCGAGCCACCUGGGAAGUACGGUCGCAAGGCUGAAACUUUAAAGGAAUUGGCGGGGGAGCACCACAACGGGUGGAGCUUGCGGUUUAAUUGGAUUCAACGCCGGAAAUCUUACCGGGACCGACAGCAACAUGAAGGCCAGGCUGAAGACUUUGCCGGAUUAGCUG